AUUGAACGCUGGCGGCAUGCUUUACACAUGCAAGUCGAACGGUAACAAGUUAAGCUGACGAGUGGCGAACGGGUGAGUAAUGCAUCGGAACGUGCCCAAUCGUGGGGGAUAACGCAGCGAAAGCUGCGCUAAUACCGCAUCCGAUCUGAGGAUGAAAGCGGGGGACCGUAAGGCCUCGCGCGAUCGGAGCGGCCGAUGUCAGAUUAGGUAGUUGGUGGGGUAAAGGCUCACCAAGCCAACGAUCUGUAGCUGGUCUGAGAGGACGACCAGCCACACUGGGACUGAGACACGGCCCAGACUCCUACGGGAGGCAGCAGUGGGGAAUUUUGGACAAUGGGCGAAAGCCUGAUCCAGCAAUGCCGCGUGCAGGAAGAAGGCCUUCGGGUUGUAAACUGCUUUUGUACGGAGCGAAAAGGUCUCCUCUAAUACAGGGGGCUCAUGACGGUACCGUAAGAAUAAGCACCGGCUAACUACGUGCCAGCCGCCGCUGUAAAAC
rnacentral:rRNA from 1 species